rnacentral:tRNA from 1 species
CAUUAAGAAGCUAUAUAGCAUUAACCUUUUAAGUUAAAGACUGAGAGUUAAAAAUCCCUCCUUAAUGA